rnacentral:lncRNA from 1 species
UUUGGACAGCCUUUUUACAUAAAUUUGGACAGCAUUCAUAUACCAAACUAGACAGCAUUUUCACACCAAAAAUUGGACAACAUAUAUACAACAAUUUGGGCAGCACAUAUACAUCAAAUUGAGCAGCAUUUUAGCAUAAAAAUUGGACAGCAUAUAUACAACAAUUUGGGCAGCCUAUAUAUACCAAAUUGAGCAGCAUUUUUACAUCAAAAUUGGACAGCAUAUAUAAAACAAUUUGGGCAGCAUAAAUAUAACAAAUUGGGCAGCAUUUAAGCAUAAAAAUUGGACAGCAUAUAUGCAACAAUUUGGGCAGCAUAAAUAUAACAAAUUGGGCAGCAUUUAAGCAUAAAAAUUGGACAGCAUAUAUGCAACAAUUUGGGCAGCAUAAAUACAACAAAUUGGGCAACAUUUAAGCAUAAAAAUUGGACAGCAUAUAUGCAACAAUUUGGGCAGCAUAAAUACAACGAAUUGGACAGCAUUUUAGCAUAAAAAUUUGACAGCAUAUAUGCACCAAUUUGGGCAGCAUAAAUACAACAAAUUGGACAGCAUUUUAGCAUAAAAAUUUGACAGCAUAUGUGCAACAAUUUGGGCAGCAUAUAUAUACCAAAUUGAGCAGCAUUUUUACAUCAAAACUGGGCAGCAUAUAUACAACAAUUUGGGCAGCAUAAAUACAACAAAUUGGACAGCAUUUAAGCAUAAAAAUUACAUGAACAUAUACCGCAUUUUGGACCAUUAAAGCAUAUGCAUUAAUACCGAAUUCAAACCAAAAGAGAUAAGCCAUUUUCGCAUGGCUUUUAAAUACAUAUACACAUUGGUUCCAAAAUCAAUAUUUUUACUAUGCUAUACAUGCCAUAUAUUUGAGAACGAUUUAGCAAAAUACCAAAAGAAAUUAUCGAUAGUGUGACGAACUUAGCUGACGAUCCCCGAACACGUAGCGAUCAACAAAAUCUAUACAUCAAAACAAUUAUCCAACACAUUGUAAGCUAAUUUAGCUUAGUAAGUUAUAUGCAAAUAAACUCUACUAUUUAAACCGAUAUCUCAAAUAAUAUUCAACCAAUUCAUACUACUAAAUCAUCUUACCUUUAGCUUACCAUAUCAUAAGAUAAUUAUUCACUUAUUACUAUAAUUUAACUAAAAUCAAUAUAAUUACACAAUCAUAAACAUUUCUUCAAAUUUAAACACAAGACCAUAUACAUUAUCCAUUUCCUCAUCAUGUAAUAUAAAGAAUCAUAUUAUAUAUAUAUAUGAUUCAAAAUAUAAUCACCACAUAGGUUUAAUAUCUACAAAGCUUAACCUUAAAUACAACCAUAAUGGUUAUUACUCAAGAAUUCAAAGUAUUUACUCAUUUGAAUAAUCAUGAUUUCUCAAUAAGACAAAUACUCAAUACUAAUAGUUAUUCGAAAAUAUUUAAUAAGUUCGCACACUUAGUGCUCAAUAAUCAAACUCGCACACUUAGUGCUUUGCCAUUAAACUCUCACACUUAGCGCUUUACAAUUAAACUCGCACACUUAGUGCUUUACAAUUAAAUUCGCACACUUAGUGUCGAAAGUCAACAACUCAAUACAUCUUAUUUCAAUAAUUUUAUCACUACAUGUAUAUAUAUAUACCAUUCAAUUCAGCAUAAUUACUUAGAUACUAAGUUGAUUUUAAAACGAUACAAUUAUAUAUAUGCUUAAUAACUUACCUCGGAUGUCGUCAACUAAUAGAUCGGCUACUCAACUACUUUCGAUUUCCCCCAAUCUAAAUCCGAUUUCUUGGUUUCUUGAUCUAAACAUAUUCAAAUAAAUCUCAUUUAAACAUAUUUUCAUUCAAUUUAGUCUAAGAACAUAUAAAUGGGAAAAUUACAAUUUUACCCCUAACAUUUCACACUUUUUACAAUUUAAUCCUUUUUUUGCUCAAAACACAAAAUUCACAAAUUUUGACUACACUCCUUAAGGGCAGAAUAUUCCUAGUGUCUAUACAAGCUCAUGCAUUUUAUUUAUUUCACAUUAUAGUCCUUGAAAAUUUUAUUUUCUCAAUUUAGCCCUAAUUACUCAAAUUCACCAAAAAUUUAAAGACAAAACAUGUUAAUCUAACACCUAUAUUUCAUAUUUCAUCAACUAACAUCAUGAAACUCAAACAUUCAUCAAUGGCACAUUUCAAAAUCAUCAACAAUUCACAAAAUUAAGACAUGGGUUUUGAAGUAUUCAAAGCAACGAUCUCAAAAACGUAAAAAUUAUCAAAAACCGAACAAAACACAUACCUAAAUCAAAGGACAAAAUGGCCGAACCUAGCUUUUUUUCUUUUCUUACUUUUUCUUUUGAUGUUUCGGCUAUGGAUGAAAAUAAUGCAUGAUCCAUUUAUUUUAUGUUUUAUUUUAUUAGCAUUAUAUUAUAAUAUUAUUAUUUUACUUUUACAUUUAAUAUAUAUAAAAACUACAUAUAUAUAUAUAUAAACCAUCAUGCCGUCCACUACAUUUACUAUUGGCUAAAUUACAACAUAAAACCUCCAAAUUAUAAAGACAACAAAAAUUAGGCACUUUCAUAUUUACUCAUAUAUGCACCAAUUUGGGCAGCAUAAAUACAACAAAUUGGACAGCAUUUUAGCAUAAAAAUUUGACAGCAUAUGUGCAACAAUUUGGGCAGCAUAUAUAUACCAAAUUGAGCAGCAUUUUUACAUCAAAACUGGGCAGCAUAUAUACAACAAUUUGGGCAGCAUAAAUACAACAAAUUGGACAGCAUUUAAGCAUAAAAAUUACAUGAACAUAUACCGCAUUUUGGACCAUUAAAGCAUAUGCAUUAAUACCGAAUUCAAACCAAAAGAGAUAAGCCAUUUUCGCAUGGCUUUUAAAUACAUAUACACAUUGGUUCCAAAAUCAAUAUUUUUACUAUGCUAUACAUGCCAUAUAUUUGAGAACGAUUUAGCAAAAUACCAAAAGAAAUUAUCGAUAGUGUGACGAACUUAGCUGACGAUCCCCGAACACGUAGCGAUCAACAAAAUCUAUACAUCAAAACAAUUAUCCAACACAUUGUAAGCUAAUUUAGCUUAGUAAGUUAUAUGCAAAUAAACUCUACUAUUUAAACCGAUAUCUCAAAUAAUAUUCAACCAAUUCAUACUACUAAAUCAUCUUACCUUUAGCUUACCAUAUCAUAAGAUAAUUAUUCACUUAUUACUAUAAUUUAACUAAAAUCAAUAUAAUUACACAAUCAUAAACAUUUCUUCAAAUUUAAACACAAGACCAUAUACAUUAUCCAUUUCCUCAUCAUGUAAUAUAAAGAAUCAUAUUAUAUAUAUAUAUGAUUCAAAAUAUAAUCACCACAUAGGUUUAAUAUCUACAAAGCUUAACCUUAAAUACAACCAUAAUGGUUAUUACUCAAGAAUUCAAAGUAUUUACUCAUUUGAAUAAUCAUGAUUUCUCAAUAAGACAAAUACUCAAUACUAAUAGUUAUUCGAAAAUAUUUAAUAAGUUCGCACACUUAGUGCUCAAUAAUCAAACUCGCACACUUAGUGCUUUGCCAUUAAACUCUCACACUUAGCGCUUUACAAUUAAACUCGCACACUUAGUGCUUUACAAUUAAAUUCGCACACUUAGUGUCGAAAGUCAACAACUCAAUACAUCUUAUUUCAAUAAUUUUAUCACUACAUGUAUAUAUAUAUACCAUUCAAUUCAGCAUAAUUACUUAGAUACUAAGUUGAUUUUAAAACGAUACAAUUAUAUAUAUGCUUAAUAACUUACCUCGGAUGUCGUCAACUAAUAGAUCGGCUACUCAACUACUUUCGAUUUCCCCCAAUCUAAAUCCGAUUUCUUGGUUUCUUGAUCUAAACAUAUUCAAAUAAAUCUCAUUUAAACAUAUUUUCAUUCAAUUUAGUCUAAGAACAUAUAAAUGGGAAAAUUACAAUUUUACCCCUAACAUUUCACACUUUUUACAAUUUAAUCCUUUUUUUGCUCAAAACACAAAAUUCACAAAUUUUGACUACACUCCUUAAGGGCAGAAUAUUCCUAGUGUCUAUACAAGCUCAUGCAUUUUAUUUAUUUCACAUUAUAGUCCUUGAAAAUUUUAUUUUCUCAAUUUAGCCCUAAUUACUCAAAUUCACCAAAAAUUUAAAGACAAAACAUGUUAAUCUAACACCUAUAUUUCAUAUUUCAUCAACUAACAUCAUGAAACUCAAACAUUCAUCAAUGGCACAUUUCAAAAUCAUCAACAAUUCACAAAAUUAAGACAUGGGUUUUGAAGUAUUCAAAGCAACGAUCUCAAAAACGUAAAAAUUAUCAAAAACCGAACAAAACACAUACCUAAAUCAAAGGACAAAAUGGCCGAACCUAGCUUUUUUUCUUUUCUUACUUUUUCUUUUGAUGUUUCGGCUAUGGAUGAAAAUAAUGCAUGAUCCAUUUAUUUUAUGUUUUAUUUUAUUAGCAUUAUAUUAUAAUAUUAUUAUUUUACUUUUACAUUUAAUAUAUAUAAAAACUACAUAUAUAUAUAUAUAAACCAUCAUGCCGUCCACUACAUUUACUAUUGGCUAAAUUACAACAUAAAACCUCCAAAUUAUAAAGACAACAAAAAUUAGGCACUUUCAUAUUUAACCAUCAAAUUUUUAUUUUACGCGAUUAAGCCAUUUUCUCAAAUUAAGCACACAAACAAUAAAAUUAUUUCAUGAAACUUUCACACAUGUAAAUACACACAUCAUAAACACACAAAAUAAUAUUAAAAUAUUUUUUUAUUUUAUAUUUUUUUAUAGACUCGGAUUUGUGGUCUCGAAACUACUAUUCCGAUUAGGGUCAAAAUUGGGCUGUUACAAGCACGGGAUAUAAAAAGGAUAUCCGAGACAGGAUAUAACCAGGAUAUUCCGGGAACGGAAUAAGAAUGAAAAUCAAAAGGGGAAAACCUGGAAUCUAACAACAUUCAUCAUUAAAACCAAAAAUCAAAAAGAAAAAAAGCCUGAAAAACCGAAAGAAAACAUGUUUUCUUUAUAAUAAAUAGCCAUGGACGGAUGGAAAGAUAGGAGACCAGAGACCGAAAGAAAACAUCCAUUUUUAAAAAAAUAGAGAUGAAUGAGAUGGAAUGAGCCAAUGUUUUCAAAAAUUCCAAUACCAUAAGCGAUUUCAACUUCCAUUUAUUUUAGAUUUUGCACCAGCAAAAAAGAUAGAAAGGAAUCCGUGAAUGUGUACUUCUUGCUGCUACAAGGUAUGAAAGAUACUAAUUAAAGAUAGUCAUUUGUGGACAGGAAGAGUACUACAUAUUCCAAGGGCAGAUCUAUCUCAUUCAUGGAUUUACAAGCACAGACCUCAGACUGAUCGAUUAAACUAAUUAUUGUAGAGUUUCCCAGGGAAUUAUUUAAUUAAAGUCAUUCAUGUGUGCCAAUUUCCUAAUGGUUGACUUAACAAUUGGGAUACUGAUUCCACAGUACUUAUUAUCCAGCCAAUAAGAGAAUUUUGUUUUGCAGGACAUCAGACUAGAAAGCAGUUUUUUAUACACGAGACCAGUAGGCUAUCUAGACUGUCACAUUAGAAAGAAAGACAGGCAAAAAAGUUUAAAGCAUCAUCUUAAGUGAGAUAAAAAGGAAAGGAAAGAAGAGACUUUACUUUGGUUAGACCAAAGACUACAAACCUGAACCAACAACACCGCAAACCCACACAGUUAAACAUACCACACUCCAAAACAGAGAUGAAAAAAACAAAAAGGAAAAUGUUGAAGCAAAGAUUCAUACCUGAAAUCAGUCUCCGAUGAAGUAGGGGUUACAAAAAUCGCAACAAAGAAACGACAGAGAAAUGAACCCACUGAAAUAGAAGUAAAAAAAACAUUGAUCUGAAACCAAAAUAGAAAUGAAAAGGCAAAGACAAACAAAGACAAAAUUCAAGAUUCAUACCUCAAAAUUAGUCUCCGAUGAAGCAGGGGAUUUUAAAAACCACGAAAAACAGAGCGUAGCGUGUAUGUGUGUUUUGGCUUUUGGUUACCCAAAUCUAGAAAAAUGAAAGGAAAAAAAUUGAAAAGAGAUCGAGAGAGAGAAUCGGUAAAGAAAUGGGUGGAGAUAUGGAUUGAAAAGAUAUAUUUGUGGAACAGUUAUGAAAGCAGAAGAAAUGAGGAAGAAAAAAAAAACAAAAGAGUGAGACCGAGAGAGAGAGAGAGAAACGACUAAGAGGCAUAAAUUGAAGAGAUAUUUACUCAGACAUAAUGAAGAAAACAAUAAAUGAA